rnacentral:rRNA from 2 species
UAGUAACUGCGAGUGAAGAGGGAAAAGCUCAAAUUUAAAAUCUGGCGGGCUCUGUCCGUCCGAGUUGUAAUCUGGAGAAGCGUUUUCCGCGUCGGACCGUGCAUAAGUCUCCUGGAACGGAGCGUCAUAGAGGGUGAGAAUCCCGUCCAUGGCACGGACCGCCGAUGCUUUGUGAUACGUUUUCAAAGAGUCGAGUUGUUUGGGAAUGCAGCUCAAAAUGGGUGGUAAAUUCCAUCUAAAGCUAAAUAUUGGCGAGAGACCGAUAGCGAACAAGUACCGUGAGGGAAAGAUGAAAAGCACUUUGGAAAGAGAGUUAAACAGUACGUGAAAUUGUUGAAAGGGAAACGCUUGAAGUCAGUCGCGUCCGACGGAACUCAGCCUUGCUUCGGCCUGGUGUACUUUCUGUCGGACGGGUCAACAUCAGUUUUGACCGGUGGAGAAAGGUAGGGGGAAUGUAGCGCUGUUUCGGCGGCGUGUUAUAGCCCCUUGCUGUAUGCAUCGGUUGGGACUGAGGACCGCAGCACGCCUUUUUGGCCGGGGGUUCGCCCCACGUACCGUGCUUAGGAUGUUGGCAUAAUGGCUUUAAGCGACCCGUCUUGAAACACGGACCAAGGAGUCCAACAUGCUUGCGAGUGUUCGGGUGGAAAACCCUUGCGCGUAAUGAAAGUAACAGUUGGGAACCUCCGCAAGGGGGUGCACCGACGCCCGGCCCUGAAGUUCUCUGACGGUGCUGCGGUAGAGCAAGUAUGCUGGGACCCGAAAGAUGGUGAACUAUGCCUGAAUAGGGCGAAGCCAGAGGAAACUCUGGUGGAGGCUCGUAGCGAUUCUGACGUGCAAAUCGAUCGUC